GACAAUUUCUGUAUUUAAAGUGGAAGAGGGAGCCAUCUUGUUCUUCAUUACAUUAUCCUUGGGCCAGGCCCGUAGCCAGGAUUUUGGUUUGGGAGGGGCUGGGUGUUGUCAUGAAUACUUUUUGAACCUUAAAAUGUUUUUUUUUAAUCCACUUUCAGUCAGACAGAGUACAUCAGGCACUUUCAAAGAAAGAAAUAAGACACACAGACCCCAGUACUGGUUUUAUAAUAGCUAGCUAUAUUGGUUAUACAGACAAAUGGGAAGCAUCACACAUAUACUUAGCAUUCACUCACAUACAUUCAGAGACGGUUCACCCGUAAGGCAAUCUAGUCAUUUGCCUGGAGCGCCAACACUUGGGGGGCACACAUGAGGCGCCUCCAAGUGCCCUAAAGCCAACUUUUUGUUGGCGCGCGCUGCCGCUUCCGGCGGGAGGCUGUGGCUACUCCCCGUAGCCAAAAGCAUAGCACCGGCUCUCUGCUCGCAGGGGAAAGAGGAUUCUUCCUCCUCCUCUUCCCCUUUCUUGGGGAAAGUGCGGGCAGUGGAAGGAGAAGUGGUGCGUUAGGGAAGCCAGGCAGGAAGAAGGGCAAGUGGCUGUUCCUCCCUCCCUCCCUCCCUCCCUUCCUCUCUCUCUGUAGGUCUCUCUCUCUCUCUAUCCAUGAUGCCGCCAUUCCUUCCCCCUCCUGCCUUGUCUUCCUCCCCACCUCCAUGCCCACCUUUCCUGCCAUCAAAACGGAGAGUAAGGGGGAUCGCAUUCCUCUUCGAAUGGCUGCUGUUCGCGGGGGGGGGGGGGGGCUUUCUCUUUAUGCUGGUCUCCUUCCCUUCAUCUAAAAAAACCCCUCUCUUCCUUCUCUUGUGCACCUUGAUAUCUUGGGUUAUAUGGCACACAGUCAUAUAACCCAGAAUAUCAAGGCAGAUAAUCACAUUAUCUGCUUUGAACUGGAUUAUAUAGAAGUGUGCACUCAGAAAACCCAGUUCAAAGCCAUGAGGAAAGUCUCCUCCAAGGGAGGAGAGAGAAAAAGAUAUCCAACCUGCUGGGGAGAGGACUUUUCCGUCCCUUUCAAAGUUCAUAGGCAUUGUGUUUCCUCAAGCUUGCCUUUCCUCCUUUCCUCCCCUGCAGUUCUGGCUCUUUCUCUUGUUUUCCUUGAAAGAAAAAUGGAGGGUUCUAUCUUCUUGCAAAAGGAGAAAGGGAGGAAAGGGUCCGUGAGUGCAGGAUCGGGGGGGGGGGGGGCUGACAUGUUUCCAGGGCUCCAAACUACAGCUCCCAUCAUGCACAGCACUCUCCUGGUGCUCUACUUCCUCUUCGUAGCUUUACACCCACUGGAGAAGGAGAGGGUUGCAUGGUGCCAUUCACACGCAAACUAUGCUGUACCGACCUUGAGCCAUGAGAACAGGCAGAAAGAGAAAACCAAGAAUUUGAAGUUAAUAUUUUCCUGCCUUCUUCUGAAACCAAAUCAUUGUUAG
rnacentral:lncRNA from 1 species